rfam:Corynebacterium marinum DSM 44953, complete genome.
GGGGCUGAUUUGGUUUCGACUUCGUAUAUUGAGCCAGGGGAAGCGUGCCGGUGCAGGCUGAGGACCACCGUAAGCGUCGCAGCAAACCUAUAAGCGCCGAGAACACUCAGCGCGACUACGCCCUCGCUGCCUAAGUAGCGACCGCGUGUCUGUCAGACCGGACUUGCCUCUGAUCCGGACCCUGGCAUCGACAAGGAGGCUUGCCUUCCGGCCGCGUCAGCGGGACCGGACGGGACACCCACCGCUGACUGGGCCCAUCAUCCGGGACGAGUUCGUCCGAGCCGGAGGGCCGAGUAGAGAUCUGGCGCGAACUGCGCACGGAGAAGCCCUGGCGAGGUAACGGAGGACCCGGGUUCAAUUCCCGGCAGCUCCACUA